GUCGCCGUGGGCGGGACGGCCGCGCUGGGGGCGACGGUGGCCCUGGCCCAGGUUCCGGCGGCCCGGCGGUGGCU
rnacentral:tRNA from 1 species